rnacentral:rRNA from 1 species
UUAAGGGCGCACGGUGGAUGCCUUGGCACUAGAAGCCGAUGAAGGACGUUACUAACGACGAUAUGCUUUGGGGAGCUGUAAGUAAGCUUUGAUCCAGAGAUUUCCGAAUGGGGAAACCCAGCAUGAGUUAUGUCAUGUUAUCGAUAUGUGAAUACAUAGCAUAUCAGAAGGCACACCCGGAGAACUGAAACAUCUUAGUACCCGGAGGAAGAAAAAGAAAAUUCGAUUCCCUUAGUAGCGGCGAGCGAAACGGGAAGAGCCCAAACCAACAAGCUUGCUUGUUGGGGUUGUAGGACACUCUAUACGGAGUUACAAAGGACGACAUUAGACGAAUCAUCUGGAAAGAUGAAUCAAAGAAGGUAAUAAUCCUGUAGUCGAAAAUGUUGUCUCUCUUGAGUGGAUCCUGAGUACGACGGAACACGUGAAAUUCCGUCGGAAUCUGGGAGGACCAUCUCCUAAGGCUAAAUACUCUCUAGUGACCGAUAGUGAACCAGUACCGUGAGGGAAAGGUGAAAAGCACCCCGGAAGGGGAGUGAAAUAGAACCUGAAACCGUGUGCUUACAAGUAGUCAGAGCCCGUUAAUGGGUGAUGGCGUGCCUUUUGUAGAAUGAACCGGCGAGUUACGAUUUGAUGCAAGGUUAAGCAGUAAAUGUGGAGCCGUAGCGAAAGCGAGUCUGAAUAGGGCGUUUAGUAUUUGGUCGUAGACCCGAAACCAGGUGAUCUACCCUUGGUCAGGUUGAAGUUCAGGUAACACUGAAUGGAGGACCGAACCGACUUACGUUGAAAAGUGAGCGGAUGAACUGAGGGUAGCGGAGAAAUUCCAAUCGAACCUGGAGAUAGCUGGUUCUCUCCGAAAUAGCUUUAGGGCUAGCCUCAAGUGAUGAUUAUUGGAGGUAGAGCACUGUUUGGACGAGGGGCCCCUCUCGGGUUACCGAAUUCAGACAAACUCCGAAUGCCAAUUAAUUUAACUUGGGAGUCAGAACAUGGGUGAUAAGGUCCGUGUUCGAAAGGGAAACAGCCCAGACCACCAGCUAAGGUCCCAAAAUAUAUGUUAAGUGGAAAAGGAUGUGGCGUUGCCCAGACAACUAGGAUGUUGGCUUAGAAGCAGCCAUCAUUUAAAGAGUGCGUAAUAGCUCACUAGUCGAGUGACACUGCGCCGAAAAUGUACCGGGGCUAAACAUAUUACCGAAGCUGUGGAUUGUCCUUUGGACAAUGGUAGGAGAGCGUUCUAAGGGCGUUGAAGCAUGAUCGUAAGGACAUGUGGAGCGCUUAGAAGUGAGAAUGCCGGUGUGAGUAGCGAAAGACGGGUGAGAAUCCCGUCCACCGAUUGACUAAGGUUUCCAGAGGAAGGCUCGUCCGCUCUGGGUUAGUCGGGUCCUAAGCUGAGGCCGACAGGCGUAGGCGAUGGAUAACAGGUUGAUAUUCCUGUACCACCUAUAAUCGUUUUAAUCGAUGGGGGGACGCAGUAGGAUAGGCGAAGCGUGCGAUUGGAUUGCACGUCUAAGCAGUAAGGCUGAGUAUUAGGCAAAUCCGGUACUCGUUAAGGCUGAGCUGUGAUGGGGAGAAGACAUUGAGUCUUCGAGUCGUUGAUUUCACACUGCCGAGAAAAGCCUCUAGAUAGAAAAUAGGUGCCCGUACCGCAAACCGACACAGGUAGUCAAGAUGAGAAUUCUAAGGUGAGCGAGCGAACUCUCGUUAAGGAACUCGGCAAAAUGACCCCGUAACUUCGGGAGAAGGGGUGCUCUUUAGGGUUAACGCCCAGAAGAGCCGCAGUGAAUAGGCCCAAGCGACUGUUUAUCAAAAACACAGGUCUCUGCUAAACCGUAAGGUGAUGUAUAGGGGCUGACGCCUGCCCGGUGCUGGAAGGUUAAGAGGAGUGGUUAGCUUCUGCGAAGCUACGAAUCGAAGCCCCAGUAAACGGCGGCCGUAACUAUAACGGUCCUAAGGUAGCGAAAUUCCUUGUCGGGUAAGUUCCGACCCGCACGAAAGGCGUAACGAUUUGGGCACUGUCUCAACGAGAGACUCGGUGAAAUCAUAGUACCUGUGAAGAUGCAGGUUACCCGCGACAGGACGGAAAGACCCCGUGGAGCUUUACUGUAGCCUGAUAUUGAAAUUCGGCACAGCUUGUACAGGAUAGGUAGGAGCCUUUGAAACGUGAGCGCUAGCUUACGUGGAGGCGCUGGUGGGAUACUACCCUAGCUGUGUUGGCUUUCUAACCCGCACCACUUAUCGUGGUGGGAGACAGUGUCAGGCGGGCAGUUUGACUGGGGCGGUCGCCUCCUAAAAGGUAACGGAGGCGCUCAAAGGUUCCCUCAGAAUGGUUGGAAAUCAUUCAUAGAGUGUAAAGGCAUAAGGGAGCUUGACUGCGAGACCUACAAGUCGAGCAGGGUCGAAAGACGGACUUAGUGAUCCGGUGGUUCCGCAUGGAAGGGCCAUCGCUCAACGGAUAAAAGCUACCCCGGGGAUAACAGGCUUAUCUCCCCCAAGAGUUCACAUCGACGGGGAGGUUUGGCACCUCGAUGUCGGCUCAUCGCAUCCUGGGGCUGUAGUCGGUCCCAAGGGUUGGGCUGUUCGCCCAUUAAAGCGGUACGCGAGCUGGGUUCAGAACGUCGUGAGACAGUUCGGUCCCUAUCCGUCGUGGGCGUAGGAAAUUUGAGAGGAGCUGUCCUUAGUACGAGAGGACCGGGAUGGACAUACCUCUGGUGUACCAGUUGUCGUGCCAACGGCAUAGCUGGGUAGCUAUGUGUGGACGGGAUAAGUGCUGAAAGCAUCUAAGCAUGAAGCCCCCCUCAAGAUGAGAUUUCCCAACUUCGGUUAUAAGAUCCCUCAAAGAUGAUGAGGUUAAUAGGUUCGAGGUGGAAGCAUGGUGACAUGUGGAGCUGACGAAUACUAAUCGAUCGAAGACUUAAUC